UACGGAGGGUGCAAACGUUGCUCGGAAUCAUUGGGCGUAAAGAGCUCGUAGGCGGUUUGUCGCGUCUGCCGUGAAAGUCCGGGGCUCAACUCCGGAUCUGCGGUGGGUACGGGCAGACUAGAGUGAUGUAGGGGAGACUGGAAUUCCUGGUGUAGCGGUGAAAUGCGCAGAUAUCAGGAGGAACACCGAUGGCGAAGGCAGGUCUCUGGGCAUUAACUGACGCUGAGGAGCGAAAGCAUGGGGAGCGAACAGG
rnacentral:rRNA from 1 species